rnacentral:rRNA from 1 species
AACGAACGCUGGCGGCGUGCCUAAUACAUGCAAGUAGGACGCAGUUGCGAACGGGAGAGUAACGCGUAGGUCCCUACCUAUUAGAGGGGGUUAACUAUUGGACACGAUCGCUAAUACCGCAUACUUGUUGAUGGACCUUCGUUGUAUUAGCUAGUUGGUAGGGUAAUGGCCUACCUCGGCAACGAUACAUAGCCGACAUGGGAGGUGGAACGGCCACACGGUGUGUGAGGCACGUCCGAGACUUCUACGGGAGGAAGCAGUAGGGAAUCUUCGGCAAGGGGGGGAUCCCGGAUAGAGCAACGCGGCGGGAGUGAUGAAGGUGUACGGCUGGUAGGGCGCUGUUGUUAAGGAGGCGGUACUUAACCAGAAAGGGACGGCUAACUACGUGCCAGCAGCCGCGGUAAUAC